GACGAACGCUGGCGGCGUGCUUAACACAUGCAAGUCGAACGGAAAGUUCCUCCGUUUGUGGGGUGCACGAGUGGCGAACGCGUGAGUAACACACGUGUCACCCUCCCUUGACUUUGGGAUAACUUUAUGAAACUGGGGCUACUACCGGAUAGGAGCUCCUGCUGCAUGGUUGGGGUUGGAAAGUUUCAGCGGUUGGGGAUGGACUGGCGGCGUAUCAGCUUGUUGGUGGGGAAGUGGCUUACCAACGCUUUGACGGGUAGCCGGCCUGAGAGGGUGACUGGCCAGAUUGGGAGUGAGAUACAGACCGGACAGAUGCGGUCGGCAGCAGUGGGGGAGAUAGCACGAUGGGCGGAAGAAUGAUGCAGCAAGGCAGCGUGCGGGAGGACGGCAUUCGGAAUGUAAAGCACAUUCGUCAGUGAAGAAGCGAGAGUGACGGUAAUGGGUAGAGUAGCACCGGCUAACUACGUG
rnacentral:rRNA from 1 species